CCCCAGCGCCACAAGUGGUUAUCACGAUUAUUGGGCCUAAAGCGUUCGUAGCCGGUUUGGUAAAUCUCUUGUGAAAUUGUUCGGCUUAACCGGACAGCGUGCAGGAGACACUGCUAGACUCGAGACCGGGAGGCGUAUGAAGUAUUCCAUGGGGACUGGUAAAAUGGGAUAAUCCAUGGAAGACUACCGAUGGCGAAGGCAUCAUACGAGAACGGAUCUGACGGUGAGGAACGAAAGCCAGGGGAGCGAACCGG
rnacentral:rRNA from 1 species